rnacentral:rRNA from 1 species
UACGAAGGGGGCGAGCGUUGUUCGGAUUUACUGGGCGUAAAGGGCGCGCAGGCGGCUCAUUUUGUCAGGCGUGAAAGCCCCGGGCUUAACCUGGGAACUGCGUUUGAUACUGGAUGGCUUGAGAUUGGGAGAGGGAUGCGGAAUUCCAGGUGUAGCGGUGAAAUGCGUAGAUAUCUGGAGGAACACCGGUGGCGAAGGCGACAUCCUGGACCAACACUGACGCUGAGGAGCGAAAGCCAGGGGAGCAAACGGG